UUGUUCGGAAUCACUGGGCGUAAAGCGUGCGUAGGCUGUUUCGUAAGUCGUGUGUGAAAGGCGCGGGCUCAACCCGCGGACGGCACAUGAUACUGCGAGACUAGAGUAAUGGAGGGGGAACCGGAAUUCUCGGUGUAGCAGUGAAAUGCGUAGAUAUCGAGAGGAACACUCGUGGCGAAGGCGGGUUCCUGGACAUUAACUGACGCUGAGGCACGAAGGCCAGGGGAGCGAAUGAGAGGAGAUACCCCUGUAGUCCUGGCAGUAAACGGUGCUUUUAUGGUGUGCGGGGAAUCGCCCCCCUGCGUGCCGGAGCUAACGCGUUAAGCGUGCCGCCUGGGGAGUACGGUCGCAAGAUUAAAACUCAAAGAAAUUGACGGGGACUCGCACAAGCGGUGGAGUAUGUGGCUUAAUUCGAUGCAACGCGAAGAACCUUACCUGGGCUUGACAUGUAAUGAACAACAUGUGAAAGCAUGCGACUCUUCGGAGGCGUUACACAGGUGCUGCAUGGCCGUCGUCAGCUCGUGUCGUGAGAUGUUUGGUUAAGUCCAGCAACGAGCGCAACCCCUGUUGCCAGUUACCAGCACGUGAAGGUGGGGACUCUGGCGAGACUGCCCAGAUCAACUGGGAGGAAGGUGGGGACGACGUCAGGUCAGUAUGGCCCUUAUGCCCAGGGCUGCACACGUACUACAAUGCCCAGUACAGAGGGGGCCGAAGCCGCGAGGCGGAGGAAAUCCUGAAAACUGGGCCCAGUUCGGACUAUAGGCUGCAACCCGCCUACACGAAGCCGGAAUCGCUAGUAAUGGCGCAUCAGCUACGGCGCCGUGAAUACGAAACCGGGUCUUGCACUCACCGCCCGUCA
rnacentral:rRNA from 1 species